CUAUAAAUCCGAUUUGAGAAGCCAUAAUCAUUGUUGUCUCCUCUUCUCUGUCUCAGUUUUAACAUGCUGCUGAAGGUGAACAUGCAUGUUCAAGAAUCUAGACCCUCAAAUACUGUUCAGCACUGUUUCAUAAACUGAGUCACAGAGAUCCAAGAAGCUUCUGCUGACUUUUUGGAGACAUGCAAAAAGGAAAGAAACGCCGUUGGGAUAAUUUCAAUCAAAUAUGGCCUCCUUCGUGGGCUCUCUGGGGUUUCUCCAAGCCCUUACUGUACUGAUCCAUCCAUCGGCAAUGACUCAACUAUCCAUGACGUUCAGUGGCCUCUGGUAUAAUUUGAGCUUCAAGAAAAACCAAGUGUGACCCAGCAAAAAAA